rnacentral:tRNA from 1 species
GCAGUCGUGACCGAGUGGUUAAGGCAAUGGACUAGAAAUCCAUUGGGGUCUCCCCGCACAGGUUCGAAUCCUGUCGACUGCG